AUUGAACGCUGGCGGCAUGCUUUACACAUGCAAGUCGAACGGUAACAGGGUGCUUGCACCGCUGACGAGUGGCGAACGGGUGAGUAAUGCGUCGGAACGUGCCGAGUAGUGGGGGAUAACGCAGCGAAAGUUGUGCUAAUACCGCAUACGUACUGAGGUAGAAAGUGGGGGACCUUCGGGCCUCACGCUAUUCGAGCGGCCGACGUCUGAUUAGCUAGUAGGUGAGGUAAAGGCUCACCUAGGCGACGAUCAGUAGCGGGUCUGAGAGGAUGAUCCGACAAACUGGAACUGAGACACGGCCCAGACUCCUACGGGAGGAAGCAGUGGGGAAUUUUGGACAAUGGGCGAAAGCCUGAUCCAGCCAUGCCGCGUGUCUGAAGAAGGCCUUCGGGUUGUAAAGGACUUUUGUCGGGGAGGAAAUCCCCAGCGUUAAUACCGCUGGGGGAUGACAGUACCUGAAGAAUAAGCACCGGCUAACUACGUGCCAGCCGCCGCCGUAAAAC
rnacentral:rRNA from 1 species